AUACGUAGGGGGCGAGCGUUGUCCGGAAUUACUGGGCGUAAAGGGUGCGUAGGCGGCGAUGCAAGUCCAUUGUGAAAAGCCCGGGCUCAACCUGGGAGGUGCAGUGGAAACUGUAUGGCUUGAGUGCAGGAGAGGAAAGUGGAAUUCCUAGUGUAGCGGUGAAAUGCGUAGAUAUUAGGAGGAACACCAGUGGCGAAGGCGACUUUCUGGACUGUAACUGACGCUGAGGCACGAAAGCGUGGGGAGC
rnacentral:rRNA from 1 species